rnacentral:lncRNA from 1 species
UCCCUCUCUUCAUUGAAUUAUUUCUCUCUCUAUUUUUUCUCUCUAGAAAAUAUCAUUUUCUCUCUCUUAAAAUGUUUCUCUUUAGAUUAUAUCUCUCUUUUAGGGUCUUCUAAUAUUGGAAAGACCCUCUAAUAGUCUUGAUAGAUUCUGAUGAAAAGAUCUUGACCAUUGACUAUCAGGUAGUUUGUCGUUCUCCAUCUUAAUUAAAC